rnacentral:rRNA from 1 species
GUCUUUUUGAGUUAAUUUAAAAGUCUGACCUGCCCACUGAGGGUUUAAAUGGCCGCAGUAUUUUAACUGUGCAAAGGUAGCAUAAUCAUUAGUCUUUUAAUUGGGGGCUGGAAUGAAUGGUUGGACGAGGUAAGCGCUGUUUCAUGUAAAUUUGUGUUAGAAAUUUAUGUUUUAGUUAAAAAGCUAGAAUAAUAUUAAAAGACGAGAAGACCCUAUAAAGCUUUAUAUUUUAUAUAGGGUUGAUUUUUUAGGUUUAGUUUAUUUUUGUUGUAUAAUGUAUUUUAUUGGGGUGAUAUUAAAAUUUAAUGAACUUUUAAUUAUUUUUGGUCAUUAAUUUAUGUGUUGAUGAUCUACUAGUAGUGAUUGUUAGAUUAAGUUACUUUAGGGAUAACAGCGUAAUUUUUUUGGAGAGUUCGUAUCGAUAAGAAAGGUUGCGACCUCGAUGUUGGAUUAAGAGAUAGGGUUAGGUGUAGUCGCUUAAAUACUAAGUCUGUUCGACUUUUAAAUUCUU